GGGCCCGAGGCGCCCGAGGGUCAGAGCACCCCGGGCCGCCCUGGUCGGUGACGGCCGGCGUGAACGGGGUGAAUCACGGAAUGGUCGGGGUUGGAGUGACCUGUGGAGAUAACUCAGUCCAUCCCCCUGCCCACACAAGGUCACCCAGAGCAGGUGACACGAGGAUGCGUCCAGGUAGCUCUGAAAUGUCUCCAGAGAGGGAGACUCCACACCCUCCCUGUGCAGCUCUUCCAGAGCUCUGCCACCCUCAAUGGAAAGAAUUCCUCCUUGUGUAGGGGUGAAACUUCUCGUGUUUUAGUUCAUGCCCUUUGCUCCUUGUCCUUCGGCUGUACACCGCCGAAGAGGCUGGCACCAUCCUCUUGAGACCCUCCUGGGAGAUGUUGAUAAGUAUGGGAGUUCCUUGAGGCUUUGGUGGACUUCAUAGGCAGCUGCCCGAUGUGUCAUUCCCAUGGCUGUUCCUGGCUAGGUUUGCAACACAACAAUCAGCUUAAGGAGGGCGAGUUUCCUCGGAGAGGUUUUGAUUAAAGCUACAGUACUUGCUGGUGAUGUGAGGAGUGAGCGAGGCGCCGGGCGUUCAGGUGAGUUCAGCAUUCAGAUGUCACAAGGGACAGCCCGGACACAGCUGAAGCGAAGGGACACGAAGGGACACAGCCUGGCUCUCUGCACAGAUGCACAUGCACGGAAUAAAGGAGGUACACAGAACCCACUCAUGCCUCGGGGAGUAAAAUUUAAUUCCUGAUUAGGCUCUGCUACCUACUCUUCCUUCCUUCGCAAAUUGUAUUUUAGUAAUUAGUAACUCAUUGUGUUUUCCUUAAGAAUGCACGCUGGCCAAAAUGAAAAAAGUUGUGUAAGACUGAAAAUUGGUAGUGGUAGCCCCCACACUAA